AAAUAUUAUUUUUUGGACACUUUGCCAUCAGGUCGACGUCGCGUCGCCCGGAGCUCAAACGACGAUUACUUGCUGCCACUCGUCCUGCUCCCCGUUCGGUGGGCAUUGUCCUGCGGAGCUCCUGGAGUUCCUGGAGUCGCAUUCGAAGUCUGACUGUGGGUCCCGGAGCCACGGCCUUUGUCUUCGGUGGCGGCGGCGUUGCACCAAUUGUGCACCAAUCCGACAACAAAAGCCAAAAACGCUGCAGAUGGGAACCCAAAAGUAUACGAGAAGUCUACCCAAAGUAUAUAAAGAAAAUGAAAGAAGUGGCUGUAAAUCAAAAAGAGCCGGUUCGGCAUCGUUUGUUGCCAAAAAUACCAAAAUUAAUUAUAAUAAUGACAAAGAACAAGCACUUUGACCCCGCGUCCGCAUCCGCAUUCGAAUCCGCAUCCGCGCGCGUUCGGUUGGCCAAUUGUGAAUGUGGAUUACAAAUUCGCGUGUGCGACUUGAGAAAAAUAUUGGAUAUGAAAAGCCUGGACAAAAAUGUAUUUACCAGCAUUUCCGCCUUGCGGUUUGGCAGCUGAAGGGACAGUGGUGUAGCUUUUGGACCGGCUCCCUUGAGUUUGCGGGGCGUGACUUCAAUUAAAGUGAUUUGUGGCCUCCGCUUCUGACACACGAGACGUAAAUAGCGGCCCUGAAUUAUGGUGCUGCUAAAAUAUGUAUACUAGAGCAUAGUCCUCGGCCCACCGGAGGAACGGAAACCGCCUCAAAGUUUGCUAAUUGAAGAGCUCCUUACUUAUUAUGUCUCCGCCCCGAAAAUGCCCAACAAAAUGCCGUCGGCGGAAUCGAAAAUGUCGGCAAUUCGGAUUCCCGGCGAAGAGGCAGUGGAUUUAAUGGAGCCCCAUGAUGGCCGAGCUGAAAAUGAAGAAGAAGAGGCGAGACAGCGGCAGCCAUCAUGGAUGUGAAAGAGAGCGUGCUCUUGGCCUCUCUCGCUCGCGCUCGUGCCUACGACAGUGCGGUAUUCCACAGCGGCCAUGCUCGCUCCAUGCUGCUCUGCUCGCCACUCACCUGCGACGUCGUCUGUUGUGAAGUUCUUGCGACGUGAGCGACCGAAACUCGGGGCCCCGAAAAACUAGAGGCCCAAAAAACAGGAUUGUGAGCGAGCGAGGGAGCGGAGGAAUUUCGAGGGACUUUCUGCGACUGCGUCGUCGCCCAGACAAAAACAAAAAAAAUGCAGAAACAAAGGCCGACGGACGAAGGAAGUUGCCCAGGUUUGAUUACACAUCGACCCCUGGAGCGAGGACUUAACCCGACGGCAGCUGCAUCAGUUUCAGUUCUCCGAGGGACAUGUAGAUGGAUACUCUGGGCCCUCAUCUGCGUCUUCGCGUGUGUUUGUGUGUUUUUAUAACAUUUGUGGAUUACGCCUAUAAAAACUACACUUCACCGCGAAGCCAGCGAAGUGGGCACCAGCUACAACAAAGGGUCUGCUGUUGAAUGUUGACCGAUUAUUAAAAUGUUGGUUAUAUUUUAAGUUCAUCGAGCAGUUAUUUAAAGUACACAUUUCUUUAACAAUCUUGUUUCUUUUAUCCAUUUGCGGGUCACCCUACUGCUCACUGAUUAACUCCAUUAGCCGCACCUGCGUCAUUUAAUCCAGGAUGAGAGCUCUCUAAAAGCUUGUAAUCCGAAAAAAUUAUAAUAAUAAAUAAAUUAUGAAUGCACUGCA
ensembl:ncRNA lncRNA:iab8 long non-coding RNA:iab8